UGUGUGUGUGUGUGUGUAUGUUGAUUCCAUGUCUUGGCUAUUGUAAAUAAUGCUGCAGUGAACAUGGGGGAGCAGGUAUCUUUUCGAAUUAGGGUUUUUAUUCUAAUCCCACAAA